rnacentral:rRNA from 1 species
UACGUAGGGACCGAGCGUUGUCCGGAAUCAUUGGGCGUAAAGAGUGCGUAGGUGGUGCCCUAAGUCUGUUGUGAAAUCUCCCGGCUUAACUGGGAGGGUGCGGUGGAAACUGGGGUGCUUGAGUGUGGGAGAGGUAAGCGGAAUUCCUGGUGUAGCGGUGAAAUGCGUAGAUAUCAGGAGGAACACCGGUGGCGAAGGCGGGUCUCUGGGCCGAUACUGACGCUGAGGAGCGAAAGCGUGGGGAGCGAACAGG